GUUUGGUCAAAAUCCAUCUGGGAGUUCAUGAGAAAUUAUGCUAACAGACAAAAAGGACUGAUUCACACAAAGAUAACUUUUAAGACGCAGGUCUACAGCAGAGUUCAGCCUCAGGUUUCCAUCCCCAUCCGAAGGACCACCUUAUAUCCAGGUGUUGACAGUCUCUGCCAGAGGCAAUGCUUUGAAUAGAUCCGGAGUUCUGUCCUUCACGAGAGGCCACCUACGGUUCUGAAACGGCCACUUAGCGUUUCGCUGACGGAUGACCUGUCGCUGUCGGGACCGACUGGCACCGGCGGGUUUGGAUGAUGGAGCGGAGAGACUUCUAACAGGACCGAACAAGUUCUCACAUUCCACCUGUGGCGACAGCAGCUGCGAGGAGGCCUCGUAGACGUCUGCUGCUGGAGGCCAUUUCACCUAAAACCAUGUCAACCACUUCUACACCUGUUCGCUGUUUCAUCAGUCACAGCUGCAGCCACUCCACUCAUCAGUCUCUUACAGUCCUUAUAGUCCCCCAGCUUGAUCUAAGUGUUUGAUAUACUUUAUUUUAAUGGAUUAAUUUCUUUCGUCUCUUUUAAUAAAUUAAAUU